AAAAGAGAAAAAUAUGAAAAAAAGAAAAAAGAAAAGAAAAAACUAAUAGAUGAAAACAAAAAAAGCAUACAAAAAAACGAUUAAUGACAAGAGAAGAAAGGUAAAGAGAAAAGAAGAAAAAAGCCAAGUGAAAAAGUAAAGAAUAACUCAAAGGAAGGAGUGGAUGGCAAGAAAUACAGAGAAAGCAUGCAUAGCAGAGCAAAGGAAAGCAAGGCAAAAUAGCAGCCAAAGCCACGAGAAUCAAGAAGUCAGUGAAGAGCAGGAAAGGAAUGGAGGACUCUGGCCAGAGCUGUGCCCCUGCUUGCCACAGGAGCUGCGCGGGAGGAGAAGAAUGUGGGCCAAAAGGUAAGAGGAGCUCCUUUGGGUUCUGGGCUUGAAGCAAAGCUGAGAAGCCAUGCCCGGGAGGAGGUGUGGGUAGCUACAGGCCAGCUUGCUAUCUCCCCAAGAGAUGAGGUGUGUGGGCUAGGCACCGGGCAGGAGUGCUGGCCAGAAGCAAGCAUCUCUGUGGAGGAAGGCAAAGGGCGGAGGAGGUUCAAGGGUAGCUACCGGGCAUGGCCUUGCUCAGCAAGGGGAGGAAAAGCGUGAAGGGCACGAGAAGGGGACAGAGAAGGGCAGGCAGUAGGCGUGAAGCUGUGAGCAGAGUAGAGAGCAACUUGGCAGAGCAGCACGCAGAGUAGGCAAGUGUUGGGGUUUGGCGUGAGUAGCAGCAAAAGCCCAUAGCAUCAAGGAGCAGGAAGUGAGGAGAAGGUAAGUGAAGGGCAGGCAAGGUACUGGGAGGCAAAGGCAAGGGGAAAGGGAGGGUAAGGAGAAAAGAGGGGAUGGGGAGGGAGGGGAUGGGUGAAGAGCAGAGCGGAGGGAAGGGCUGAGGGGAGGCUGAAGGCAAACCUGUGAUGAAAAAAAGAAAGAAAGAAAAAAAUAAGAACAAAAAUAUGAAAAGAAGAGGAAAAAAAGGAAAAGAAGAAAAAAAAAAAUAAAAAAAAGAGAAAAAAUGAAAAAAAAAAAAAGAAAAAAAAAAUGAAAUGAAAAAGAAAAAAGAGUAAAGAAAAAAAAAAUGAAAAAAAGAACAAGGAAAAGAAAAAGAAAGAAAAGGAAAAAGAAAAAAGGGGGAGAAAAGAGAAAGAAUAUGAAAAAAAAGAAAAAAGAAAAAAAGAAAAAAAACUAAUAGAUGAAACAAAAAAGCAAACAAAAACGAAUAAUGACAAGAGAAGAAAGGUAAAGAGAAAAGAAGAAAAAAGCCAAGUGAAAAGUAAAGAAUAACUCAAAGGAAGAGUGGAUGGCAAGAA
rnacentral:lncRNA from 7 species